rnacentral:rRNA from 1 species
GACGAACCGUGCAAACGUUGUUCGGAAUCACUGGGCUUAAAGGGCGCGUAGGCGGGCAAGCAAGUCCGGGUGAAAUCUUUCGGCUCAACCGGAAAGUGCCUUGGAUACUGCUUGUCUGGAGGAGGUAGGGCACGUGGAACUCUGGUGGAGCGGUGAAAUGCGUUGAUAUCAGAAGGAACGCCGGUGGCGAAAGCGGCCCGCUGGGCUGUGGCUGACGCUGAUGCGCGACAGCGUGGGAGCAAACAGGAUU